rnacentral:misc_RNA from 1 species
AGACAGGUGAGUCAUCGAAUCUUUGAACGCACAUUGCGCCCUUUGGCAUUCCGAAGGGCAUGCCUGUUCGAGCGUCAUUAUUACCCCUCAAGCUCGGCUUGUUGUUGGACGUCGGUGGUCGUUUGUCGGUCGCCCGCCCCAAAGAUAAUGACGGCGUCUGUGAGGACUCCAGUACACUGAGCUUCUUCGGAGCACGUAUUGGCUAGAAGUCCAGGCCCGGUCUUACCCAUUAUUUUUAUAAAGUUGACCUCGGAUCAGGUAGGGAUACCCGCUGAACUUAAGCAUAUCAAUAAGCGGAGG